rnacentral:rRNA from 1 species
UACGGGGGGAGCAAGCGUUGUUCGGAUUUACUGGGCGUAAAGGGCGCGUAGGCGGCCACCGCAAGUCGACUGUGAAAUCUCCGGGCUUAACCCGGAACGGUCAGCCGAUACUGCGGGGCUAGAGUGCAGAAGGGGCAACUGGAAUUCUCGGUGUAGCGGUGAAAUGCGUAGAUAUCAAGAGGAACACCUGAGGUGAAGACGGGUUGCUGGGCCAACACUGACGCUGAGGCGCGAAAGCCAGGGGAGCAAACGGG